CUGAAUCAUUAAAAAAAAUAAAUCUCUGUAAACCUGUUUAUUUUAUUGAAGCAUUUUUAACUAAAAUACUAAUGUCUGUUAACUGUGAGGAAUUUAAUGUAUUAAAUAUGCGAUUAUCUGGUUACCAUAAAAUGGACCUUUUAUUAACUUUGGGUUAAGUAUUAAAAUGUACUAAGAGCACCUAUCAAAUGUAAGUAAUGAAUCUGUUUAUCAAGUGCCAAGACACUCCUUGUACUAUAACCACUGCAGAGCGCUGUGAUGGUUAUAUUGUUUGAAGUAAAACUGUUAUUAAACGGUUUGACUUCUUACACUGGUUAAAUGCCAAGACACUCC